ensembl:lncRNA
AGCAGUUGUGAUGUGUGUUUAGCCCUAAUCUAUGUCUGUGAGUGUGUGCUUGUGUUGGUACAUUAGUUGAUAUUGUGAACUGAGACGAUUACACAUCACCAAAGGAUUGUAGAGCUUUCACUUUCCAAAUGGCACAAGCCAUUAUGUCACAGCCAGGGCUUUCUGGGGGAACUUAACCACGGAGUGGGGGGUUUCCACUGUAGUGUGGAGGGGGAGCACAACACUGUGUCAUAUUCCAGGUUUGUGUGUUCAUCAAAGCGUGUGACAGCAUUGAGUUCAGCAUUGUACGAUAGACCCCCCUAAAAUAUCUGACUGAUCCAGUUGUAUCACACCAUCUAAGUCCACCGUUCAGGGCAACAUAACAAGGUUGUAUGAUUUAUAUCAAGCUCCUCUCGGUAUCAGGAUGAAGGUGAUUGAGGAUGACUUAGGGAGUCGGUUCAGGUUUGCUGAGUCAUGUGUGGGAUUGACAGGGUGUCUCUGCGUGGCCUACUCUGUGUGGAGCUCUCGCUGGCUCUGGGACACGGGACUAUGGACUUUAGGGAAUAACAUCACCAGCACAGACCAUGACAUUGACCAGAGUGACAUUAUCUUCAACGCUCUAGAGGCAGAGCAAGUAUUUGCUGUGCUGUCCUUCCUCAUGGCUCUGAGUUCAGGAGCUCUGUGUCUUAUGUUCGCCCUCUGCUGGACAUCUCAGACCGUGCGCUCCUUCUCCAACAAUCGCUCUUUGCUCAUGGCAGGCCAGGCACUCAACCCGACUGUCCUGCUGCUCCUCACUCUUGGACCCACAGGUUUCUUCUUCCUCCUCAGCUGGUCCAUCUUCACCUACCAGCAUUGGAUGGAAAUCAGUAGUGACAUCACCAGCCUGGGUUCCUCCUAUUGGCUUGGCGCCCUGGGCUGGGCCCUGCUAUUGGUUGUUUUCCCAGUGGUGUUCCUGGUGGAGCAGUGUGUGGUCCCUGACAUCAUGCCGAACCUCAUGAAUGCUGCCGAUGGCUGGCUCCGCACCUCCCCGGUUCCAUAUGCUGAGCGCCCAUUCAGCCAGAUUCAUCAGCAUUGUGACAUGGAAAGGGGGCUGAAGAGGUGCAUGUCUGUAACAUGAGACAAGGAAUGGAUAAAACAGGGAUGAAGUGAAACCUUCGGGUUUCAAGUCUGAGCAGAAUGCAGGACUGAACUGGACAGGUCAGGACUUAUGGAAGUCUGUGUUUACUCUAGCAGUUUACAUAAGGAAGUCAGAAUCUGCACCCUACCAGCUUUGAGGCAUUAGUGAUUAUAUGAAUAUGAUUAUAUUCAUUUCACCUGGGAGUGGGCAAUUUCUCUAUCAGAGUCUUCUCCAGUGGUCACAAACUGUCCUCAUCUGGAAAGCAUGGUGAGCAAGGACUUUUAAUCUAAACGUAAAUUCUCCACCAGCUUGUGUUAUUCCUCACUACAAGCAGAUACUAGAUGUUGUUAUGCCUCACCACUGUGCUAGCUGUUAUGUCACACCUCUAUACAAGGUGUUGUAAUGCCUCACUACUGUACCUGCUGUUGUUAUGCCUCACCACUGUGCUAGCUGUUAUGUCACACCUCUAUACAAGGUGUUGUAAUGCCUCACUACUGUACCUGCUGUUGUUAUGCCUCACCACAAUAAAAGUGUGACUUUUAUUUUAAUUUAUGAAAUAAAUGAGUGCUGAUAAUGUGUAACCGCAUAAAAUACUCUGCUCUGUUUAACCAGUAUAUCUGCUUAAUGCCAGGUGUCUUCCUGGCACCACAAAUGUGUCCCGAGCCAGCCCUGUCAGUGCCAAGCCACUGAAUAGACAUCCCACAGCACAGGCUCAUUAUUACAUCUCCCUUAUAGCAAUAGCACCAUCACAUCCAGUACUGCUGACUCAUGGCUGCCAUCUCCUCUGCACUGCCAAGCCACUGAAUAUCAGUCCGUAUUGUCUCGCCUCCCUUCUUUCUGUCUCCAUUAGUGUCUUACUUGCCCAAGUGGAUCAGUGGAGAGGAAGGGGUGGGCUGUCGUCCUGCCCCAUGUUUACAUCCUGCUGAUCCUUGUUAAAUAAGGGGAG